rnacentral:lncRNA from 1 species
UUGCUUUGUCUACAUGAGUCGGGAAGACUGGAGAUAAGAGUGGGAUAGACAUGCAGCCUUGUUUCUGUCGAGCACCAGAAGCCUGCAUCAGGUCCGCUGGACAUCUCCCUUUGGAUGUCUCGUCGAGAGAUUAUUAGUACAACAGGAGACGAGGGGCUAAAGGUAAGGCAGACCCUAUGUAUUUUUCUCCUCGUCUCUGCUUCUCAGACUUGUCCUUUUGGAGAGCAGUGAUAAAGCAGAUGGAUUUAGUUUUUAUGUCAGUCAUCAUCAGCUGGGUGGAAGUUUUUGUGUGAAAGAAAAGGCUAGCAUUAAAUUGAUUGAUGGUUCAUUUUUCCUGUUUGCUCCUUGGUCAUUGGAGUGACACCAGGAGGGCUGUCUCGUUAGAGGAGUGUGAGACAAUGGCUCUGACACACACAGAAUUCAUCGCUUGUAAUUGAUCCCUGGAAAUAGCAUAGUCACACAUCGUCCCCAAUAAAUUUGCCUGCUGAACUACUUGGGACAAUCUACCCUGCACUUUUUUCAAAGGCUAUAAGAAAUUAACAGCAUGUAAUCUCACAAGGAAUAUUUGUCGUCGAAUUUCUCCAACAAAUGGGAGAUGACAAAUAUUUCACAUGUGGAUUAAUAAUUUCACCUUUGAGUUUUCUUCAUUUCCGGUCACAACCAGGCCAUACAAGAUGUACAAAUGUGUGAUUUCAGGCACAGCUGUGGUUGUACAAGGCACAGGUGUUGUGUCCUAGCAGACUUUAGCCUUAGAUCCUAUUGUUGUUAUCACUCCCCUUAUCAAAACAUCCAGGGUUUUUGCCCUAGCAGGUGAUGCUCCAAGAAGGAAGGAAGAAAUAAUUCUCCAACUGGACCCAAUAUUGUCCACCAGGGUUUACUUUCCCCUGGGGACUUGCUCAUAGAAAAUUCCUCUGCCACCAGCCUGCCCCCAGAAAUGGCUGCAGCCCCUUGAGUGCUCCAACAUAAGUGGGGACAAAAUCUUCUGUCUCUGGCUGUCCUUAGCACAGAUAAGCCUGGCUGGACCUGUCAGAGAAAAUUGAAGAACAAAAGGAGCACACAGGAGGGAUAAACACAAAGAAGGCAAGAAUGAUAAAAUGCUCUGCUUAGAAAGUGCAAAUUUCUGAACCUGCCUGAGCCACCGAGCUCUGAAGGCUCAAGGGCCCUUCUCUUUCUAUAAUUUUCUCCUGAGGAUGGUGCUAUGCUUAACCUGAAAAGAGAGCAGGGCGCCUGACUUCCUGGCUUCUCAGCAAUGGUGUCACUAGUUAUAGAUGCCUCUCCGCAGAAAGUCUGAGUUCUCCUUUUGUUCUUCUCAUGCAGACAGUAUCAAAGCAGCUCACCCUUCUUCCAGCAGGAAACGUGAAUGUGUGAAAAGAGCGACCAUUUGUUAGACUCUGUUUCUGGCCCAGCAUCAUGAUGUUUCUUAGGGUAAGGGGCAGGGGAGGAUGGAGAGGCAAUAGUGAAGAAACUGUUUUGUGAUUCAGAGGAAAGAGCAAGGUGACAAAAAAAAAAAAGGACGAUGAUUUAAUUUUAAUUAAAAUUAAAUAGGCAUACAUGACUGGUGGUUAAUGUUUUAGUGAAGCUCAAGAGACUAAGCGUGGCAGGGGCCCAGCAGAAAGUAGGUCCAGCAUCUCUGCCGCAAAGGCAAAGUCAUCCCCCGUCCUGCCCUGCCCCGCUCCACCCCGCCUGCUGGUCAAGGCCCCUCUGUCUCCCUCCUCCUGAAAGAGCACUGGACUAGAGUGUAGGUCAAGAGUGGCAAUGAUUUGGCUGUUGGCUAGUGGCCUCCUGCCCUAGCCUGGCUGUUUGUGCCCACAACCACCCACCAGCCUGAAGGAUCAGGUUGCUGCUUUGAUUUAGCCUCUCUAUUGCCACUCAGCCCGCACCUUUGCUGUCUCACCCUCCUGUACAGUGAGGCCUUUCCCUGUCCAUUUGAUUCCUAUUAGAGAACCAGGCAUUUCCCCGGUGACGGUGGAAAUAAGGUAUUCCAGGUGCAUGCUGUAAGGAAGGCGCAUGCGCGCAUAUGCAUGCGCACACGCAUGCGCCGUCUAGACCAAGGCGGGCACCUGUUCCAUCCCAGGGAGUAGAGGCGGCCACAUUCCCAAGGGGUUCUGUUACAGGCGGCCACAGGCUCCAAAGCCCAGAGCUGAUUCUGCUCUGGCUCCACUUCUUUCCUCUGCUGUCUGCUUAGUAAAGGAGCAAAGGCCAGGCCCAAGGCCCGCAGGUCACUAUAGAGUAUGGUGACCCCUAAGAAAACAAGAUCAACCGUCUUCAGGGCCCAUCCCCAACCUGCAAGGGGUCCCUGAGUUUACUAGUUAUUUGGGAUCACAAAGAUCCCAAGCAAUUUGCACAGUCUCCUUGCUGCCACUCCUCUCCUAACCAGAAGCAACCAGGGAGCGAGACGCCACUUCACAUGGGACAAAGGUGAAUGUGAGAUGUGCAAGACCAGACCCUGAGGAAGGGCCACGGUGACCCAAGGGCUGGGCCCUUCAGCCUAAACUUACCUCUAGACUGAAAGGUGAUAGGUCCCAGGCGGAGCCCAGAGGGAGGGGGUGGGCAGCUGAGAUGGAGGCCAGGCUGGAAGGACUGGAGGGGAGCCAACACUGGUGUGUCUGCACACAGGAGCUGGGAGAGUCUCCCUAGAGCCUCAGGGCUCUUCCAGCAAAAGGUAAAGUUUGAAACCCCCCCACACACACACUCAGAGGAGUCCAGCCCUCCUGCAGCGCUCUUACACCCCAUCCCUGCAACCUGCAACUUGGCCUCCACCCCUUCCCCACACUCUGCCCCUACUAUCCGACAGAGUUUUGAGCCAGGGCCGUAGGGGCCCUGAAGGGAGGCCGGUCUUCUCUUUCACCUUGGUUCCUGGGACGCGCUGCGUCAUCAUGGCAGAGGCCAAGAGCUAGAUCCCGUGCCCGGGAUGCAGACUGAGCAGAAAGGGUGGAGGAGGCCGAGCAUGGAGUUGUGGACCAUCUCUCACCCUGCCCAGAGCCCCCAGCACCCCAGUUCUUGCCAUGUGCCCUCUUGUGGGUGCUGAUGGGGCGUGGUGAGAGAUGCAGUGCACAGCCACAGCCUCCUCUCACCAGACCCUGGGACUCACCCUCUGCCCCCCACUCUCAGACAUCUGUUGAAUCCCUGACUUCAAGCCUCACAUGGUGAAGCUCCUCCCUGCGGAAAUAAAGGGUUCAAGAAGGAUCUGGAAGGAGACAGAAACUCAGCUCAGCUGGCACAUCAAGGUCAGGGGCCUCACCUCUCCUAAUUUUAAAGAGAAAGAUCUGUAAGCAGAGGAGAGAAGCCAACCGAGUGACCCCUGAGUGGAAAUCAGGGCAGAAAUCUUUUGCAACAGAAUCCCCAUGGGAAACAUGACAAAAUUAGCAACAGGAAUGAGGUCUCCCUCGGAGGAUACAAGAAUCACUGGGUUGAAAAUAACCACAAGGUCAUCUAGUUCAGCUGCCACCACUUGCCUGAAUUUUUCCAGAAAUUUUUGGACAAGCAGUCAUCCAGCCUCAUCCAGCAGCUCAGUACUCAGCAGCCCCCUCCUGAUGGCGGGCAAGGUUUUAAAGGCCCCUGGGGCUCUCGUGCUUCCAGGGGCAGCUCGCAGAGGGCAGCGGGCAGCAGGCAGCACACAGGGGCCCGGGUCCAGCGCUUCCCUCCCUCCGGCUGCUGUGUUUAUACUCCAUUGAUUCACAGCAAAGACUCUUGGCAAGAUCAAGAUUUCUUUACACCGCUUGUGUGGCUGCUUUAGUGAACCAGCCUUAAAACAUGCUCCCGAGGAGGUCAGUUUUUGGUUAUCGUUGGCUUUAAUUCCUGGAAAAGUUCUGGGAAUCACGAUUUCAGAACCAGAAAGAGCUUCGGCAUCUCGUCCAGCCACCUCACAAUGACUCGUGAGAACCGAAGGGACCCUGGAGCCUAGGGUGGAAUUCAGACCUUAUUCCCCACUGUUCCCCCAGUGCCCUCUGAGCUGCAGUCCCAGUGGCUCUGGGACCCUCCAGAAGGUGCUCAGUGGCCUCUCUAGGGUCUCGUGUUACCUGAUCCACUGCAGCCCUGGCCCCCGGUUCUCAGCUCCUCCCUUGGUCUUUGCAGCCCCAUUCCCGGCUAGUAGGCUGGGGAAAGGGUGUGCAGUGUCCAUGCCUUUUCAGUGCCUCGCUUUCCCGUGUCUCCACCUGUGCACAAGCCUAGAAGCGCUCCAAACUCUCUCCUUUUGGAUUUUUUUAAUGGAGGCUUCAUUGUAUUGACUGAUUAAAUCAUCAGCCGCUGGUGAUUGAAUGUAAUCUCCAGCCCUCCCAGGAGACUGGGGUUUGUGCAGCCACUCCUUGACCACUGCCCCCUCCAACCAUUUCAGCCACUAAGUCUUACUCGCCUUAAAAAUAGUCGUGCUUGUUUGGGCAGCUUCUCUCCACGGAUUGAGUCUUUCACAGCUACAUUUUUUGAUCAGUAUCUACCCUUUGCUUCCACUUCAUCCCCUUCCCUCCAGCUGUCACCACAGUUUUUAUCUGUCUUACGCCCCAGCGCUCCCCUGGACCUGCUCUCACCAGCGGACUUCACCUUCCUAAUUCCAAUGUUUACUUUUAGUCCCUGCCUUGCUUGAUGGCCUCAUAAUAUUUGGCACAGCUGACUGUACCCUCCCUUGUAAAACUCUCCUUUCGCUUGGGUUCCUCGACCCGAUGUUUUUCUCCUAAUUUCCAAGUAGGCUCUUUUGCCUACGUGACCCAGGCCUUGAAAUCCUGGAGUCACGUGGCACUCUGUCCCGGAGCUCCUUCCUGAGUCAGCCCACCUCUUUCCUCGUGAUCCCAUCCGCCCCGGUGACUUGGCUCGCCAUCUGUCUGUAAACGAAUGGCCCUUUAAUCUGUGGCACCUGCUCAGACUUGCUCCUGAGCCAGAAUGUCACCACGGGAUGUUGCAUAUGUAUAGCUCUCUGACCCUCGAUGUGUCAGAAGAUGACUCAGAACCUUCUCCCUGGUCUCACCGUCACCACCCAUCACUCUGCACCCCAGGAAACAGCUUACACUUGCUAUUCAAGGCAGACCCUGAGGGCCUUGAACCCCUUUCCCUUCCUAACCACCCCACUCCUCUUCCAAUAGGCUCUAAGGUCAUGUCCUUCUCUCUAAUGCAGCUGUCCCAGGCUCUGACCAUCACUUCUUAUUUGCAGGUAGCAGACACCUCUAACCACACCUCCCUGUGUCCACUCUUGACCUCUUCCAAUCCAUUCUCAUGUUGCAGCCAGAGAGGAUUUUACAAGGCGCACAUGGGAUUAUGUCACCUGACUGUUUCAAAGCCUUCAAUGGUCCCCAUGUUUAGGAUGGCACCCCAAACCUCAACAUGGCUGGAUUUCUGUCUCACAAUGCUUUUUCUCAAACACAGCUCUCCAGCUUAAUUCAACAUUUUCAUUUCUUCCAAUGCCUCCACUCUUUUUCAUGUCUAAUUAGUUAGCAUUCCCUGCCCAUUAGAUUUAAAUUUAAAGACCCAUGACGUUAUGAAUCUGUUUUAUUCACCACUAUACAUAUAUAGCAAUUAGCACAAUGUCUGACAAAUAUUUGGAAACUACAUGAUUUAUUUAUUCAGAAAAUAGUUUUUAAAUGCCUGGUCUGUGUCAAGCUCCAUUCUUGAUUCUUGGUGAUGUGGAAAUAUUUUUUUUAAAAGAGAGACAAAACCCUUUGCCCUUAAGGAGUUAUAUUCUACUAGAGAGAGAGAAACACAAUGAGAAGAAUAGGUGGUAUAUCUGAUGGUGAUAACUGCCAAAGAAAAAAAUUAAGUAGGGAAGGAGGGGGGAUAAAGAAAGAAAGGAGGCAGACAGAAGGAGAGAUGGAGAGACAGAGGGAAGGAGAGAUGGAGAGACAGAGGGAAGCAAGCAGUUAUUUGGGGGAAGAACAUUCCAACAAGGAGAGUGGCAAGUUCAAAGGUCCUGGAUGGAUAUAUGCCUUCAGAGUUCAUGGCCAGAAAGAAGGUCAGUAUGACUAGAGAGAAUGAGGCAGGGAGAGCAGUGGAAGAUCAGUGUGGAGACUCGAAGGGCUCCCUGAUGCAGGGCUGGUGGUCCUGAGGGAGCUGUCGCCGUGUGUGCAACGCAGAGCUGCUGGAGCGCUCUGGGUAGAGGGUUGCUGUGGCAGGACGAGGAUUUCAGCGGUCUCACUCAGCAUGCCAGCAUGCUCUGUUGGAAACAAACUGAACAGGAGUAAAGAUGGGAGCAAAAGUGCCUGGUAGGAGGCUGCUGCCGCCACCCAGGUGAUCCAUAAUGGCAGCUGCAACCAGGGUGGUAGCAGAGAGGUUGAAUCCUUUACACAUCGUGAAGGUAGAGGUGACACAGUUUCCUGAUGAUCGGAAUGUAGCAUUUACGAGAAAGAGGAAUCGAGAACGAUUCCAACGGUAACCCUAAGUUUGGUUUCGGAAUCUUGGAAUCUGUUUCUGUUUUGUAAGUUCUGUGGUAUCAAAUGCCACGGGUUAGUGAUGUCAUGUUACUUGUUUUUCCAAGUGGGAAAUGUGGGGAGAGAAAUAAUUUGGGAGGUUGGGACUAACAUGUACACACUGUGAUAUAUAAAAUAGAUAAGUGACAAGGACCUACUUCCCAGCACAGGUAAAUCUACUCAAUGAUAUACAGGGGAAAAGAGACUGAAAAGGAAUGAUUUUAUGUAAGUGUGUGUGUGUGUGUGUGUGUGUGUGUGUGCGUGAGAUUCACUUUGCUGUGCACCUGAAACUAACACAACAUUGUAAGUCAAUUACACUCCAAUAAAA